rnacentral:tRNA from 1 species
UGCCUAGCAGUCCAGUGGCUAAGACACUGCAUUCUCAAUGCAAAAGGCCAAGGUUCGAUCCCUGGUUGGGGAA